rnacentral:rRNA from 1 species
ACGUAGGGUGCAAGCGUUGUCCGGAAUUAUUGGGCGUAAAGAGCUCGUAGGUGGUUCGUCACGUCGGAUGUGAAACUCUGGGGCUUAACCCCAGACCUGCAUUCGAUACGGGCGAGCUUGAGUAUGGUAGGGGAGUCUGGAAUUCCUGGUGUAGCGGUGGAAUGCGCAGAUAUCAGGAGGAACACCAAUGGCGAAGGCAGGACUCUGGGCCAUUACUGACACUGAGGAGCGAAAGCGUGGGGAGCGAACAGGAUUAGAUACCCUGGUAGUCCACGCCGUAAACGGUGGGCACUAGUUGUGGGGACCUUCCACGGUCUCUGCGACGCAGCUAACGCAUUAAGUGCCCCGCCUGGGGAGUACGAUCGCAAGAUUA